GGCCAAGGCCCACUCUCUACAAUGGUCCCUGUAAGGUAGCAGUGAGAAAUGAGAGGGCCAGAACCCCAGGGUUGCACAGGGUGGGCCUCUUAACGUUCUCAUUUGGUCUUCCUGGCCCUGGCCACUCAGGAGAUCACUAUACAGCAGUGCAUGUUCCCAAGGGGCAGGGGCCUCUGCACCCAGGAGCUAAGGAUAAACAUGCAGGAAGUCUUGUCUAUUGUUGACCCAUUGCACUGGGCUGGCUAGGGUCCACUGCACACCAGCAGUAGCAGGGCGGGUUAGGGUCCACAGAAACAUUGGCUGGGGCUUGGUCUGUGGGACUGCAGGCCUUUCACAUCCGAGGUCCCCCAUUAUUGGGUGGGGGUAGCAACUCAUGGGUGAACACCCUGUCAUCCCUGGACAGGCUGGAGCUAGGAGUGUCCCAACCACCUGGAGAGGACUGCUCAAAUGGCACGGAGAGGUCCAAGUACUUGUCAGUUGAUGUCACAGUGAGGAUGCGGUCUAAAUCCUCUACCUACUGCUUGAAGGUGGGCCUCUGAAGACACUGCAUGCCAAUAUCCCCACGUGACCAUGUACAGGCCACGUGUGCAGUUGUGGGGCUUGUCCAUGCAGUGGCCCUCUGUAAGUAGCUUGAAAAGCUCUUCCACUGGGAUGCCAGGAUACGGUGAGAUGUCCUAGCGGAGGACACCAAAGAACCAGACAUCACUCUGGUGGGUGAAGACUCUGUAAAAAAGGGCCUCUGAUUCCAUCCACUUCACAGGUAGCAGGCCACUUGUGGUCUUCUUGUAGUAAUCCAGGUUGUGCACGUCUUGGGCCAGGCCAAAGUCUGUAAUCUUCAUCACAUUGUCCGAGGUAACCAGGACAUUUCUGGCAGCCAAGUCUCUGAAUACACUUCUGGGAAGCCAAGUAUUCUGUGCUCCAUGUUACCUGGUAGGCACAGAACACUAGAUCCUUGCAGGUAAGCUGUUCUCCUGGCAGCCUGCAGUCCAUGCCUGGAGGCCAUUAUGCCAGAAGGAACUCUUGAAAAUUGCCUUGUCUGCAUACUCCACCAGCACAUACAGAGCCCACCCAGUGCAGGCCCAGCAGAUCAUCAUCUCCAUCUCAGAUACCAGGUCCAACAGCAUCUUCACAGUAUCUUCUGCCAUGACAGUCUGUCCAAAGCAGCCUUCUCCCAGUCUUACCAAGUGUCAGUUGGGUCCUGGAUAGUUCCUACUUGGGGUCAGCAGGCAGCUCAAGUUCAGAAACAUUGGCCAUAAUAGGACCUUCUCCUGAAGACACCAAGCAAUCCGGAUAAGGGCUACAUUUGAAGUUCAUAGAGGAAUUAGAUUCCAAGGACACCUGUCAGUUAAGCGGGGAAGUGCCUUGGGGGACUGGGCAGACCGUCACCACAGCUGCCACCACUAGGAUGAAGAGGAAGAAGCCCACCCCGUAGUCGCUGAGGACACCCGCACACAUGCUCCUCAGCUGUGUCUUCAGUUAGGUCCUUCCCAUCUUCAUUAUCUCCUGAGGAUGGAGCAUCUGUCACAUGCAUACUGAAGCCUCUGAGAGCCCACCAGGAUGCAGUGGGAAACCACCAGUUCUGUACCAUUCUUAGCCCAGACUGUGGGACUUGUGGGGGCACCUCUACAUGUCAGCUCCACGGUGUCCUCACUGCCAAAGGCCACCUGCUCCUACUGGCUAGGUUCAGGCCCUGGAACCUCUGCCGCUCUCUUUACAGCUCUGGACCAGAAGGCUCUGAAGUAGGUCCAGCCAUCACUGCCAUGCAGAAUACUUUUUUUAAAAUUAGGUAUUUUCUUCAUUUACAUUUCAAAUGCUAUCCCAUAAGUCCCCCAUAUCUUCCCCCCACUCCCCUACCCACCCACUCCCACUUCUUGGCCCUGGCAUUCCCCUGUACUGAGGCAUAAAAAGUUUGCAAGACCAAUGGGCCUCUCUUUCCAAUAAUGGCCAACUAGGCCAUCUUCUGAUACAUAUGCAGCUAGAGACACAAGCUCUGGGGGGGUACUGGUUAGUUCAUAUUGUUCCACCUAUAGGGUUGCAGACCCCUUUAGCUCCUUGGGUACUUUCUCUGGCUCCUCCAUUGGGGGCCCUGUGAUCCAUCCAAUAGCUGACUGUGAGCAUCCACUUCUGUGUUUGCUAGGCCCCGGCAUAGCCUCACAAGAGACAGCUAUAUCUGGGUCCUUUCAGCAAAAUCUUGCUAGUGUAUGCAAUGGUGUCAUCGUUUGGAGGCUGAUUAUGGGAUGGAUCCCCGGGUAUGGCAGUCUCAGAAUACUUUUAUCACGCCGUCCGGUACUACCAUGGCUCCAGAGUGAGGGUGGGGGCAGCAUCCUCAAGUGGGUGCGCACGGGCAUGCUGCAAUCCACACCUGGAGCCUGAGGCGGUGGGAGGAUGCCUCACUUGCAGCUCCAGCUCUGGCCAGCCCUUCCAGGGUCUCCUCUGUCCCAGUGGCCGGCUGCCCACCAGUGAGUCUGUCUGUCCCCCACCCCCACCGCCCACUAGAGUGAACCGCGACACAGAUGAUCUUAUUGUAAGCAUUUUAUUUUUCAAAUUAAUGAGGCCCAACUGAAGGAAAUGGUGUUUCCCAUCUGACCAGCUUUGUGGAAAAACUCCCUACCUACUUUUUAAGAGAGAAACCUGAUAAAGCCUUAUUUAAAUAAAAUUUUAUUUCGAACUAUCUUGAUCAUGCAUAAAAGUUAUAAAAAAAACUUUCCUUGAGAAUUGAUCACCCUACAUCCUGUCACCUCAGAUACAUAUUCAUAUCAGUUUUCUGUAAACCAGGAUAUUUUUCUACAUAACCAACCAUCAAAAACACUGACACAUUGCUACUAUUUAACUCUCUAGCUCUAGUCAGUCUUUCUCGGUUUUUCUCUUGUCAUUUAUGGUAAAGGACUCUGGUCUAAGUUAGCUAUUCCAGUUGUUAACUCUUCUUAAGAGUUUCCACAAGUUUUUGUUGUUGGGUUUUGGGUUUUGUUUGGGGAUAGUAAGUACCCCUGACUGGCCUGCAACCUAUAGAGUAGGCUGGCCUCAGACUCCCAGUGUUCUGUGUGCUGAGAUUAAAGGUGUAUGCCCCCAUAGCCAGCAUUUUUUAACUUCUUGGGUCAAUGAUUGGAUUGCCUUAGUUUUAUCUCUUUAAAGAUAUAGUCGUAAAGCUGUUCUCUGCAUCCUCUCAGGUGGUAAUGCCUUGUUACUUAAGACUCACUGCAGACACUUAAUUCAAGUGACUUCUUACACUACAGAGUUACUCCUUUUCCUUUUUAACUCACACCUGUGUGGGGGAAGAUAAUCUCACCUCUCGUACACGUGUUGCGCCCUCACCAGAUUCAGGAUAGUUUUCAUUAUCAUGGUUGUAUGUUCAGAUGUGUCUUUGGUAAAUUUCUAAACUGAUGUUUUAUGAGAGUUUAUGUUGUGUCAGAAUUAUUUCAUCUGAUUUUGUAUACUGUUAUUGUAUAAACAGGUCUGGUUAUUUCC
rnacentral:lncRNA from 1 species